rnacentral:lncRNA from 1 species
UUUAAAUUGAAAUCUGUAACUAUCCUAAAUAUUGGUCAAAAUUGAUCAAUUAUCUAAAAGUGCCUAGAAGGACAUUCUUCAGCAGACCCAAAUCAUGUUGGAAGUAAUUACACAAUUCAGACACGAUAUCAUUAGUUUUCAUGAUAGUCUUCCUAGUAUGCAAAAUUUUAAAUAUGUUUGUUAACUGCAAUUUAUCAGUGAAUAUUAAAGGCCAUAUGAACAAAAAUGUUAACGCGUUUAGUAUCAUGACUUUGUUAUUCAAUCUUAGAAUACCGAUAGGUCUCCAAAAUUGUUUGUCUUUAAAAGAAUGAAACUAUAUUAUCGAAAAUCUGCUGUUCCUCUCUCCCCUGAAAACAGACGUGUGCAUGCCAUAAUGUCAUUAAAAUUGUAUUUAUACCUUUCGUAUUAAAAAUUCAUACCAUGCGGUGGAUUUUGACAAUAUAACUUUCAAUGUUAUUUAUCUAAGUAUGCACGAACACUAGGAAUCCAAAGCCAUUUAAAAACAACGAUUCCAUGCGUAUAAACGUUUUGAGUACUUUUCGGAAUACACAAUAGGAAGAUUGAGUUAUAAGACUAAAAAGAAAUUAUAUAACUUCAUUCUAACAUCUCUUUAUUUUGUUGAUUAUAUGUUAUUCUAGGAAAAUUGUAAUGGUCGUUACAAUUUAGCAAUAAAAAAACC